rnacentral:rRNA from 1 species
UACGUAGGGGGCGAGCGUUGUCCGAAGUUACUGGGCGUAAAGAGUACGUAGGUGGCUUGUUAAGAUACAUCUGAAAGGUGACAGCUCAACUGUCAAUGGUGGUGUAAGACUGGCAGGCUUGAGGCAAGCAGAAGAGUGUGGAACUCCGAGUGUAGCGGUGGAAUGCGUAGAGAUGUGGAGGAACACCGAUGGCGAAGGCAGCCUCCUGGGCCAAUAUUGACGCUCAGGCACGAAAGCGUGGGGAGCAAACAGG